GGGGCCGAUCCGGAUUCGACGUGGGUCGCGAAACAGAGCAGGGCAUGCCGAGCCCCAGUACGCUCGUAAAACCACUGGAAACAAACAAACGCCAACGACGAGCGUUUCGCUCUCGCCGCUUAAGCGGUGAGCCGUUGCACUGACUUGUCCCUGGGUCAGGUGGGGUAACACCCACAGCAACGUUAUUCACAGGGAAUCGGGUCUGGCCGGGUCACACGGUCAGGCUUUAAAACGAUGUGAAUCGCUCCGGUCCGGCCUGUCGGUUGGCUAAGUCCGGGGUUAAAACGAAAUAAAUCGACUACGCAUGUAGAACUGCCUGCAGAGGGCUCGCGGACGGGGGUUCAAUUCCCCCCGGCUCCACCA
rnacentral:tmRNA from 1 species